GGGGCUAUAGCUCAGCUGGGAGAGCGCUUGCUUUGCAUGCAAGAGGUCAGCGGUUCGAUCCCGCUUAGCUCCACCA
rnacentral:tRNA from 1 species